UAGGGAAUCUUCCGCAAUGGACGCAAGUCUGACGGAGCAACGCCGCGUGAGUGAAGAAGGUUUUCGGAUCGUAAAACUCUGUUGUAAGAGAAGAACAAAUUGUAGAGUAACUGCUACAGUCUUGACGGUAUCUUACCAGAAAGCCACGGCUAACUACGUGCCAGCAGCCGCGGUAAUACGUAGGUGGCAAGCGUUGUCCGGAUUUAUUGGGCGUAAAGGGGGCGCAGGCUGCUUCUUAAGUCUGAUGUGAAAGCCCACGGCUUAACCGUGGAAGGGCAUUGGAAACUGGGAAGCUUGAGUACAGAAGAGGAAAGUGGAACUCCAUGUGUAGAGGUGGAAUGCGUAGAUAUAUGGAAGAACACCAGUGGCGAAAGCGACUUUCUGGUCUGUCACUGACGCUGAGGCCCGAAAGCGUGGGUAGCAAACAGG
rnacentral:rRNA from 1 species